UGACAAACGCUGUUGUGAUCAUAAACUGUAUGGAUGUGAUUACACGCAAUACACUGAGCUUUUCCUUCACCAUUGUAAAGCGCUGCUUUUGCAAGGUUCCGUAAAAACGUUUCAGCUUGUAUUUUCCGUUUUCGCCCUGAAGAAUAUAUCACAGAUUCAUCAAGUUUAUCAAAAUUCAUACAG